rnacentral:rRNA from 1 species
GAUGAACGCUGGCAGAAUGCUUAACACAUGCAAGUCAACUUGCACUUCGGUUUGGGCGGCGGCCGGGUGAUUGACGCGUACCGAACUGGCAUCAAAGCUAGGGAAAACAUUUGGAAACGAAUGCUAAUACAGGAAAUUAUGCUUUAAUGGCACAGUAUACUUAUGAGAGCUAUAUGCGCUGCGUGAGACCUUUGAGUCGCAUUAGCUAGUUGGUGGGGUAAAGGCUCACCAAGGCGAUGAUCCGUAGACGGCCUGGGAGGAUGAUCAGCCACACUGGAACUGAGACACGGUCCAGACUCCUACGGGAGGCAGCAGUGGGGAAUAUUGGACAAUUGGCGCAAGCCUGAUCCAGCCAUACCGCGUGGGUGAAGAAGGCCUUCGGGUUGUAAAGCCCUUUUGUUGGGAAAGAAAAGCAGCAGGUUAAUACCCCGCUGUUCUGACGGUACCCAAAGAAUAAGCACCGGCUAACUUCGUG